CCUGCUUCUGCUCUUGUUCUCAACGGAAAUAAGGCUUGAAGAGCUCAUGCCAAAAUGUUGAUGUCAGACUGUCAGCAACUCAGUCACAAAAUUAUCCUUACCCUUUGUAGACAGAGUAGUGAGCUUGGCUCUAAAACAAAUAAGUGGGUAAGUGAAGCAUUAGUGCAAGUGAACAAAUAUUUUGCAGACAGACAGAGCAAGGAGGGAAAUGUGUGCUUAGUGCUAGGUGAAUAAUGGAGGAAAAAGUAGGAGUUACAGAAUUGCCUGCAAGAUGUGCAGGGAUAAAGGAGGAGUGGAGACUGAGGGAACAGCCAACCAAUGAUUGCCCCAACUUGAGACCCAUCUCAUAGAAAAGAGCCAACCCCAGACACUAUUAAUGAUACUUUGCUAUGCUUGCUGACAGGAACCUAGCAAAACUGUCUCCUGAGAGGUUCCAGCAAUGACAGAGGCAGAUGCGGAGACUGACAGUCAAACAUCAGGCAGAGCUUUGGAAAUCUUGUGGAAGAAAUGAGAAAGCUGGAGGGGAAAGGACACCACAAGAAGACCUAGAGAGUCAACUAACCUGGGACCUUGGAGGUUCACAGAGACUGAACCACUCGAAGAGCAUACAAGAGCUGGACCUAGGACCCCUACACAUUUAUAGCAAAUGUGCAGCUUAGUCUUCAUCACCUCUUGGAGCAACCAUUGGGGUUGAAGCUGCUUAGGCUGCCAUUUCUUUUCUGAGGAGUUCUGGUGGUAUCACAUUAUGGAUGACAAAUUUGUAUCCCGGAGACGGUAUUAAAAUGGAGGUUAUGACCUAUGUUGUAGUACUUUGUUAGAUGGUGACUAAGCUAAAGCCCUUUGCCUUUUCCAACAAACAGAUAGAUACGAGUUCAGAACCUCUCAGAUGGUGUGGAGAUCUUGGGAACAGACCUGGUUUUCUUCAAAUGGGUAAUUUUUUUUAAUUAAAAGGUUUGAUUUUUAACCUUUUCAAAGGAAAGGUGGUAGUAUAGGAGAUGAACCACCAACUGAGUCAGACCAGAAAGUCAGCCGUGAAGUUCAGAGGGAGACACUGUGUUAGAAAGCAGAAGUGACAAUCAAGGGCAUAUAUCCCGUUUCAUACACAUUAGUUUUUCAUAAGAUAGUGCAUUCAUGUUUUAGAAUUUCCAAUUCUGCUGUUUUAUUUCACAAACAUAUUGAGGGAAAAUAGUCCACUCAAGUUUAAUUAGUAAUGGUUUGAUAUAAUAAUUUGAAUAGGACACAAUCCAGGCUCUCAGGGCACAGACAUUAAUGGCUUUUCCUUUAUGUACCUUUUUAUGUAGCUUUAUGCACAAUGCUCUUAUUGUGCACACUUACUCGGCCAUGCACUCACCAGCUGAGAUCCCAGCCUAGUUUUGGAUAUUGUCGCUGAAGGAG
ensembl:lncRNA